UACAGAGGGCGCGGGCGUAUUCGUUUUGAUUGGGUGUAAAAGGUACGUAGGCUGUCGUUGAAAUUCUUGGUUAAAAACACGGAGUGUUCCUACGUGUGAGCCUUUUAAAGAUUCGACUUGUGUUGUGUCAUUAUGAUAGGUUAGGGCAAUUUCCUGUGUAGGGGUAAGAUCCUACCAUAUAGGAAAGAACGCCGAUAGGCGGAGGCAUCUUUCUAGCUACAACAGACGCUAAGGUACGGAAGCCUGGGGAGCAAACAGG
rnacentral:rRNA from 1 species